AUUGAACGCUGGCGGCAGGCCUAACACAUGCAAGUCGAGCGAGCGGCGGACGGGUGAGUAAUGUCUGGGGAACUGCCUGAUGGAGGGGGAUAACUACUGGAAACGGUAGCUAAUACCGCAUACCAUAAGAUGUGACCCGAUGGGAUUAGCUUGUAGGUGGGGUAAUGGCUCACCUAGGCGACGAUCCCUAGCUGGUCUGAGAGGAUGACCAGCCACACUGGAACGGAGACACGGUCCAGACUCCUACGGGAGGCAGCAGUGGGGAAUAUUGCACAAUGGGCGCAAGCCUGAUGCAGCCAUGCCGCGUGUGUGAAGAAGGCCUUCGGGUUGUAAAGCACUUUCAGCGGGGAGGCGUUACCCGCAGAAGAAGCCACGGCUAACUCCGUGCCAGCAGCCGCGGUAAUAC
rnacentral:rRNA from 1 species